rnacentral:rRNA from 1 species
UUGAUGGCGAGUGGCGAACGGGUGAGUAAUACAUCGGAACGUGCCCUGUAGCUGGGGGAUAACUAGUCGAAAGAUUAGCUAAUACCGCAUACGACCUGAGGGUGAAAGUGGGGGACCGCAAGGCCUCAUGCUAUAGGAGCGGCCGAUGUCUGAUUAGCUAGUUGGUGGGGUAAAGGCCCACCAAGGCGACGAUCAGUAGCUGGUCUGAGAGGACGAUCAGCCACACUGGGACUGAGACACGGCCCAGACUCCUACGGGAGGCAGCAGUGGGGAAUUUUGGACAAUGGGCGAAAGCCUGAUCCAGCAAUGCCGCGUGUGUGAAGAAGGCCUUCGGGUUGUAAAGCACUUUUGUCCGGAAAGAAAUGGCUCUGGUUAAUACCUGGGGUCGAUGACGGUACCGGAAGAAUAAGGACCGGCUAACUACGUGCCAGCAGCCGCGGUAAUACGUAGGGUCCAAGCGUUAAUCGGAAUUACUGGGGCGUAAAGCGUGCGCAGGGCGGUUGUGCAAGACCGAUGUGAAAUCCCCGAGCUUAACUUGGGAAUUGCAUUGGUGACUGCACGGCUAGAGUGUGUCAGAGGGGGGGUAGAAUUCCACGUGUAGCAGUGAAAUGCGUAGAGAUGUGGAGGAAUACCGAUGGCGAAGGCAGCCCCCCUGGGAUAACACUGACGCUCAUGCACGAAAGCGUGGGGGAGCAAACAAGGAUUAGAUACCCUGGUAGUCCACGCCUUAAACGAAUGUCAACUAGGUUGGUUGGGGAAUUCAUUUUCCUUAGUAACGUAGCUUAACGCGUGGAAGUUGACCGCCUUGGGGAAGUACGGUCGCAGAUUUAAAAACUCAAAGGGAAUUGACGGGGACUCCCGCACCAAGCCGGG